CAGACACUAGACAAUCAAUGAACCAAUAAAUCCAGCCCCGAAUUUGUUGUCUUUGAGGUGUAAAUGCUCACAAUGCAUUUUUGACAAUCCUGAGUCAACAGCCCUGGGUCGAAAGGUCAGGGGGAGUUUCCUGAAGAGGAUGAAACUUGAUCUGGGCCCAAAGCAUCGAACAGGCAGAAGACGGUUGCCAUUCAGUCCAUUCAGUCCGCAUCACAACCAGCGCUGCAAGGAGUAUCUUCUCUGAAAUGAAGGUUGUACAAGUACAAGGCUGUUACAGGAAUUUGAACCCAGCUCUCGUCUGACUCCUUUCACUCUAUGGAAUGCCUCUUAGGAAAUGCAGAUCCCAACACUCUGGCACAGAGGCAACAUGGAACAGGAGGAAUACAGAAGGAUCUGGAUCUGGAAAGCCUAGAUUCACUUACCAUCUAUAUGAGGAAACUGAGGUUCAGAGGCAGAAGUGAUUUGCUCACAAUCGCCCAGUUGGAAAGUGGCCAAACCUGGACACAAGCCCAGAACUACGAAGUGACACGCAGAAUGGCCUGUGCUCAAGCAGGAAAGCUGUUUGCUACUCAGAAUAAUCGGAACUAACUUUGCAGCUAACCUUGACGGGGGCUGGAGCACACUGUUUCCUCCAAACAGCUGAAAUGAUAGCUUGCAACUUCUAAAAUAACUUGCUUCUCUACGCUGUCCUAGAGCAAGCCCGGAGUGUUGGGGCCUUGUGGUUAGCACAGUGGGGGUUGUGGUGGCAG